GAUGAAUGCUGGCGGCGUGCCUAACACAUGCCAGUCGAGCGGCAGCGAGGGGUGCUUGCACCCUGUCGGCGAGCGGCGAACGGCUGAGUAACGCGUAGGAAUUUGCCCCAAAGUGAGGAAUAACUGCCCGAAAGGGUAGCUAAUGCCGCAUAUGGUCUUCGGAUUAAAGGAUUUAUCCGCUUUGGGAGAAGCCUGCGUUGGAUUAGGUUGUUGGUAGGGUAAUGGCCUACCAAGCCGACGAUCCAUAGCUGGCCUGAGAGGAUGAUCAGCCAGACUGGAACUGAGACACGGUCCAGACUCCUACGGGAGGCAGCAGUGAGGAAUCUUCCACAAUGGGCGAAAGCCUGAUGGAGCAACGCCGCGUGAAGGAUGAAGGCCUUCGGGUUGUAAACUUCUUUUAUGAGUGAAGAAUAUGACGGUAACUCAUGAAUAAGCACCGGCUAACUACGUG
rnacentral:rRNA from 1 species